UAUGGAUCUAGGGCUUCGUGUCUUAAUUUCGGCUGUGCGCUCAGGCUGCACGCCGAUAACCUCUCACACCUGUGCACCUUUUCGGUUGCGGUUUCGGCCGCUUCCGCUUUUACAUGCAACCACGAAAAGUCUAGAAUGUGAAGAAAACUAUAAAGUAACAACUUUCAACAACGGAUCUCUUGGCUCUCGCAUCGAUGAAGAACGCAGCGAAAUGCGAUAAGUAAUGUGAAUUGCAGAAUUCAGUGAAUCAUCGAAUCUUUGAACGCACCUUGCGCUCCUUGGUAUUCCAUGGAGCAUGCCUGUUUGAGUGUCACGUAAACCCUCACCCCUGCGAUGUAACAGUCGCCUGCGGUGGACUUGGACCGUGCCGGUAAUCGGCUCGUCUUGAAAUGCAUUAGCUGGCGCUUUUAGAGUGCUGGGCGAACGGUGUGAUAAUUAUCUGCGCCGACUGCCCUGGGCCUCUUCAGCGGCGCUGCUUACAGCCGUCCCUUGUGGACAACUAUUUUAAAGCUUUGGCCUCAAAUCAGGUAGGACUACCCGCUGAACUUAAGCAUAUCAAUAAGCCGGAGGAA
rnacentral:rRNA from 1 species